rnacentral:rRNA from 1 species
AUGAGGCUCAAAGUGCAUAAGCAAACUUGGUUAGAUAGCAUCUACAAGGUGAAAGAAAAAUGGGCUGAAUGUUAUAUGAGAGAUGUCUUUAGCUUGGGAGUGAGAAGUACACAAUUAAGUGAGAGCUUCAAUAAUGCGUUGAAAAAUCAUUUGAAAUCAGAUUUUCAUAUUCUUCGGUUCUUGAUGCAUUUUGAGAGGACGGUGGAAGUAAAAAGAACAAAGGAAUUGGAAUCUGAAUUCAAUGCAAGAAAAUAUAUACCGAGAAUUAAGAUGUUCACUCCUAUGUUGGUGGAAGCAAGCAAAGUGUACACUUCGAUUAUAUUUGAAGCUUUCCAAGGUGAGUAUGAAAGAUCAAUGGCUGCAUGUUGUAGAGUAUUGGAUGGAAAUAACAGAUUUGUCGUUGCUAUUGCGAGUUUGCAUGGUGAUUUAGAGUUUGAGGAGGAGCGCAUAGUGAUAGGUGAUCCUUUGACCAAAACGGUUUCAUGUAGUUGUGGAAUGUUCAAUAGGACGGGGAUAUUGUGUGGACAUGGUCUAAAAGUCCUUGAUUUGAUGAAUAUAAAGACAUUGCCGACACAUUAUGUCUUGAAGAGAUGGACUAGAGAAGCUCGCAAUGGAAGUAUAGAAGAUAAGGAAGGAAGGAAAGUGGUAGAAAAUCCAAAACUUGAAGCUCAACUUCGGUACAGGGAUUUGUCUCAUCAGUUUCACAAUGUGGCACAUAGAGCAGCCAGCUCCCCACGGUGUUGUUUGCUAUUGGCUAAUGCACUUGCCUCCGUUGCACCUAGCAUAUAG